rnacentral:tRNA from 1 species
GCCCAGAUAGCUCAGUCAGUACUGAGUGUCAGACUUUAAAUUUGUGGUUCCAGAGUUCAAGUCCCUGUUUGGGAA